ensembl:piRNA 21ur-5247 ncRNA
UCAAACGUUUAUAUCUUAAAC